rnacentral:tRNA from 1 species
GGAGAGGUGGUUGAGUGGUUGAAAACAGCAGUUUACUAAACUGCCGGAUCCGUAAGGGUCUCGCGAGUUCGAAUCUCGCCCUCUCCG